rnacentral:rRNA from 1 species
UACAGAGGUGGCAAGCGUUGUUCGGAAUUACUGGGCGUAAAGGGCGCGUAGGUGGCCUUCUUAGUCAGACGUGAAAUCCCCGGGCUUAACUCGGGAACUGCGUCUGAUACUGGAAGGCUGGAGUUCGGGAGAGGAAUGUGGAAUUCCAGGUGUAGCGGUGAAAUGCGCAGAUAUCAGGAAGAACACCCGUGGCUAAGGCGGCUCUCUAGUACGGUACUGACGCUGAGACGCGAAAGCGUGGGGAGCGAACAGG